rnacentral:rRNA from 1 species
UACGAAGGGGGCUAGCGUUGUUCGGAAUCACUGGGCGUAAAGCGCACGUAGGCGGAUUGUUAAGUCGGAGGUGAAAUCCCAGGGCUCAACCCUGGAACUGCCUUCGAUACUGGCUGUCUCGAGUCCGGGAGAGGUGAGUGGAACUGCGAGUGUAGAGGUGAAAUUCGUAGAUAUUCGCAAGAACACCAGUGGCGAAGGCGGCUCACUGGCCCGGUACUGACGCUGAGGUGCGAAAGCGUGGGGAGCAAACAGG